rnacentral:lncRNA from 10 species
CCAACAUGUGGCUGUACUGGAGUCUCUCUGAAUGUACUCUGGCCUGGGGAUUGGGGGUGUAGGGGCUGUGGAAGUGGAGAUGGCAUCUGAAGUGAGAUCCAAAGUGGAGCUUACAGAGACCUCCAGGAGCACUGAAUGGCCAAGACAGGCUACCUGCUAGGCCCAUGGUGUCCACUGCUUUUGUGCAGCAACUGGGGCACGGAAAGGGGUGGGAAAUCCCUGGAGCUGCAGGUUCCUCCCUGUUUUAGACUAUAUAAGUUUUUAGCCUCUGAAUUAAGAGUUCUGCAUAGGUAGCCAUGGUGAAGUCUGGAAACACGUUCUCAGUGCCUCAACCAGCAGCUACAAGUCAGAGUCAAGCCCAUUAUGACCCCUUCUUCCUGCCUGAGCUUUGGCCCCAGAUAUUCUGAGAGGGGUUGGAUCCUCCAGGGCAUCGACCUCACAGCUCUGUCUUCUGUCCUGAGCUCUUCUCCUGGCAUGUAAAUUCAGGACUCAGAUAAGCCCUGCCCUUCAUAGCCACCUUGGAUGCUGCGUGACUACCUGUGAGUCAGGAGGACUGGAAAAGACAUUAGGGAGGGUACCUGUGUCCUACUUUCAAAAUGUUUUUCAGUAAUUUUAAAUCUUAAAGUGAUGUUAUGUUAAAGCAUAAUCAUAAAAUGGGAGUCAUUUGUAAGUUAAAAAAUAUUAAAACAUUAAUUACCAAACCUAAGUUUAAGUUUAUAUAGUUUGGCAUCUUAUUUUUGUAUGGUAUAGAGAAGCUAAAUAUAUUUACGUCUGUUAAUAAAAUAUAGGAAGAAACAUCUUUCUAAAAUUUAUAGAAUAAUUUAAUAAUUUUUAUCUGCAAAUACUGAUAUAAAACAGUUCAAAAUUACUUCCUAGGGAUUUCACUAAAAACUAGGGUUAAAGAGUUCAUGUAGUUAAUAUAUGUAAUUAAAACAACUAGAUGUAAGAAAAACAAUUCUGUAUAGUAUAUAAAAGCAAGAUAUGCUUUUGAUGAUGGAAGUUAUAAAGGCAUAAAAUGUAUGUUUGUUAAAAAAAAAUUUGUCUAGGCGAAGUUACUAGAGUUGCCUAGUUUGAAGUUUGUCCAGUUUGAAGUUAGUUAAAGGUUACUUAAGUUACUUAAAGGUUGUUUCAAAUUGAAGGAAUAAAAGGAAUGUAGAUAAAAUUAAAAUAUAAAAAGUUGAAAAAAUUUUUAAUUGUACGAGAUUAUAAAAGGGUUAUGGGAAUCUGGUGUGGUCAAAAGCUGACUGACAUUGAAUGAGUUUGUUUAUAAGGUUUUAUUAAAAUUAGCUUUAUUGAUAAUACACUAAUGCAAAAGUAAAAUUUGGUUUUCUCUUUUGAACAAAAAUUUCUUAUAGUGUUAAUAGUGAUAGCAAGAUAUUUUUGUUUACCUUUUGAGUAAACUGCAAAAAAUAAAAAAAGAGAGAGAGAGACAGAUUCUGCCUCACGCUGUCUUUCUCAGGUCUUUAGAUUGUUUGGAAAACUGCGUCUCCUCUAUCAGAGAGUAAUGUUUUUGCUUUUUAAAAUCUUUUCGUUAUCACUUUACCUAAAUAAAUGACUACUAUUUUAUGAUGACCUGUGACCCUAUUUUGAUCAAGUGUUUUAAACCUUUUAUAUUUGUUUGACAGGCUUCCCAAAAUCAAAUUUCCACUUCAAAAUUAAGUCUCUUUUGACCUUGAAUUUUAGAAUACUACAGAGAGCCCCUGAAGCCUCCAUAAGAGAGUUAACGGGAUUGAUAUGUUAAAUCAUAUGGAAAGCAUUGCCAAAUAAUAAAUGAUGUUUAACCUUCU